CCUACGGUGUGCAGCAGUGAGGAAUAUUGGUCAAUGGACGCAAGUCUGAACCAGCAAUGCCGCGUGCAGGAAGACGGCUCUAUGAGUUGUAAACUGCUUUUGUACGAGGGUAAACGCAGAUACGCGUAUCUGUCUGACAGUAUGGUACGAAUAAGGAUCGGCGAACUUCGUGCCAGCAGCGGCGGUAAUAUGGAGGAUUCAAGCGUUAUCCGGAUUUAUUGGGUUUAAAGGGUGCGUAGGCGGUCGGAUAAGUUAGAGGUGAAAUCCCCAGGCUCAACUUCGGAGUUGCCUCUGAUACUGUUCGGCUAGAGAGUAGAUGCGGGAGGUGGAAUGUAUGGUGUAGCGGUGAAAUGCUUAGAGAUCAUACAGAACACCGGUUGCGAAGGCAGCUUACCAGGCUACUUCUGACGUUGAGGCACGAAAGCGUGGGGAGCAAACAGGAUUAGAUACCCGAGUAGUC
rnacentral:rRNA from 1 species